GAUGAACGCUGGCGGCGUGCCUAAUACAUGCAAGUCGAGCGAACGGACGAGAAGCUUGCUUCUCUGAUGUUAGCGGCGGACGGGUGAGUAACACGUGGAUAACCUACCUAUAAGACUGGGAUAACUUCGGGAAACCGGAGCUAAUACCGGAUGAUAUUUUGAACCGCAUGGUUCAAAAGUGAAAGACGGUCUUGCUGUCACUUAUAGAUGGAUCCGCGCUGCAUUAGCUAGUUGGUAAGGUAACGGCUUACCAAGGCAACGAUGCGUAGCCGACCUGAGAGGGUGAUCGGCCACACUGGAACUGAGACACGGUCCAGACUCCUACGGGAGGCAGCAGUAGGGAAUCUUCCGCAAUGGGCGAAAGCCUGACGGAGCAACGCCGCGUGAGUGAUGAAGGUCUUCGGAUCGUAAAACUCUGUUAUUAGGGAAGAACAUAUGUGUAAGUAACUGUGCACAUCUUGACGGUACCUAACCAGAAAGCCACGGCUAACUACGU
rnacentral:rRNA from 1 species